rnacentral:misc_RNA from 1 species
UCCGGUUUGGCACCGGCAGUCUCCCUAGAGUUCCCGGCAUUACCCGCUUUCACGGGUUUCACCCUGCAUGUCAAGCCCAGGUAAGGUUCUUCGCGUCGCAUCGAAUUAAGCCGCAUGCUCCGCCGCUUGUGCGGGCCCCCGUCAAUUCCUUUGAGUUUUAGCCUUGCGGCCGUACUCCCCAGGCGGGGUGCUUAAUGCGUUAGCUUCGGCACGGAUGGGGUCGAUGUCCACCCACACCUAGCACCCAACGUUUACGGCUAGGACUAC